UACGGAAGGGGCGAGCGUUGUUCGGAAUCAUUGGGCGUAAAGGGCGCGUAGGUGGUUCUGUAUGUCUACCGUGAAAGCGUACGGCUCAACCGUAUUUUGUCGGUAGAAACUGCAGGACUUGAGGCUGGGAGGGGCUGGUGGAAUUCCCUGUGUAGCGGUGAAAUGCGUAGAGAUGGGGGAGAACACUCGUGACGAAGGCGGCCAGCUAGACCAGUUCUGACACUGAGGCGCGACAGCGUGGGGAGCAAACAGG
rnacentral:rRNA from 1 species